UCCCUGGUGGCUUAGAGGUUAAAGCGCCUGCCUGGAAUGCGGGAAACCUGGGUUCAAUCCCCGGGUCGGGAA
rnacentral:tRNA from 1 species